CUGAGAGCUCGAUACACUAAUGUGUGCUAUUUAUCCACAGAACAGGUACAGCAAGAGCAACAGAGCUGCAGGCUUCUCCCAUGCUGCCCACCAGCAGUGUGCCCCAACACUGCUCUAGUGGGACCAUUCCUCGGGGAAAUAUUGUGCUGGGGUCUCCAUGCCCAUCUAGUCGCUGGUCUCA
rnacentral:sRNA from 1 species